UGGCUAUGAUGAGAAAAGUCAUGCACCACUCUGAAGAGAUUUAUCUCUUUGUGCUGAUAAACAAACUUACAACCCAUUUUAUUUCUGAGCCA
rnacentral:snoRNA from 2 species